rnacentral:rRNA from 1 species
CAAUACUUAGUGGCAGACGGGUGAGUAACAUGUAGGUAUCUGCCCUUUGGCCUGGAAUAACACGAGGAAACUUGUGCUAAUACCGGAUAAGUCUUUACGGAGAAAGCUUUAUGCACCAUUGGAUGAGCCUGCACUUGAUUAGUUUGUUGGUAGGGUAAUGGCCUACCAAGACUAUGAUCAAUAGCUGAUUUGAGAGGAUGAUCAGCCACAUUGGGACUGAGACACGGCCCAAACUCCUACGGGAGGCAGCAGUGGGGAAUCUUGCACAAUGGAGGAGACUCUGAUGCAGCGAUGCCGCGUGAGUGAAGAAGGCCUUUGGGUUGUAAAGCUCUUUCGUCGGGGAAGAAAAUGACUGUACCCGAAUAAGAAGGUCCGGCUAACUUCGUGCCAGCAGCCGCGGUAAUACGAAGGGACCUAGCGUAGUUCGGAAUUACUGGGCUUAAAGAGUUCGUAGGUGGUUGAAAAAGUUGGUGGUGAAAUCCCAGAGCUUAACUCUGGAACUGCCAUCAAAACUUUCCAGCUAGACUAUGAUAGAGGAAAGCAGAAUUUCUAGUGUAGAGGUGAAAUUCGUAGAUAUUAGAAAGAAUACCAAUUGCGAAGGCAGCUUUCUGGAUCAUUACUGACACUGAGGAACGAAAGCAUGGGUAGCGAAGAGGAUUAGAUACCCUCGUAGUCCAUGCCGUAAACGAUGUGUGUUAGACGUUGGAAAUUUAUUUUCAGUGUCGCAGCGAAAGCGAUAAACACACCGCCUGGGGAGUACGACCGCAAGGUUAAAACUCAAAUGAAUUGACGGGGACCCGCACAAGUAGUGG